GAUGAACGCUGGCGGCGUGCCUAAUACAUGCAAGUCGAGCGAACAGACGAGGAGCUUGCUCCCCUGACGUUAGCGGCGGACGGGUGAGUAACACGUGGAUAACCUACCUAUAAGACUGGGAUAACUUCGUGAAACCGGAGCUAAUACCGGAUAAUAUAUUGAACCGCAUGGUUCAAUAGUGAAAGACGGUUUUGCUGUCACUUAUAGAUGGAUCCGCGCCGCAUUAGCUAGUUGGUAAGGUAACGGCUUACCAAGGCGACGAUGCGUAGCCGACCUGAGAGGGUGAUCGGCCACACUGGAACUGAGACACGGUCCAGACUCCUACGGGAGGCAGCAGUAGGGAAUCUUCCGCAAUGGGCGAAAGCCUGACGGAGCAACGCCGCGUGAGUGAUGAAGGUCUUCGGAUCGUAAAACUCUGUUAUUAGGGAAGAACAAAUGUGUAAGUAACUAUGCACGUCUUGACGGUACCUAAUCAGAAAGCCACGGCUAACUACGUG
rnacentral:rRNA from 1 species